rnacentral:pre_miRNA from 11 species
GAAAGUAAGCGAUGUUGGUGAGGUUCAAUCCGAAGACGRAUUUACGAAGAGCCGUAAAGAACGAUCUCUGAUUGAGCCGCGCCAAUAUCACUUUCUGCUAA